GAAGCUGUAAUGUGCUUCAUGUACUAAUAUUGGAAUGAUACAGAGAUUAACAUGAUCCCUGUGCAAAGAUGGCAAAUUUAUGAAGCAUUUCACGUUUUG
ensembl:snRNA U6 U6 spliceosomal RNA